GAUGAACGCUGGCGGCGUGCCUAAUACAUGCAAGUCGAACGCAUAGCGAAAGGUGCUUGCACCUUUCAAGUGAGUGGCGAACGGGUGAGUAACACGUGGACAACCUGCCUCAAGGCUGGGGAUAACAUUUGGAAACAGAUGCUAAUACCGAAUAAAACUUAGUGUCGCAUGACACAAAGUUAAAAGGCGCUUCGGCGUCACCUAGAGAUGGAUCCGCGGUGCAUUAGUUAGUUGGUGGGGUAAAGGCCUACCAAGACAAUGAUGCAUAGCCGAGUUGAGAGACUGAUCGGCCACAUUGGGACUGAGACACGGCCCAAACUCCUACGGGAGGCUGCAGUAGGGAAUCUUCCACAAUGGGCGAAAGCCUGAUGGAGCAACGCCGCGUGUGUGAUGAAGGCUUUCGGGUCGUAAAGCACUGUUGUAUGGGAAGAACAGCUAGAAUAGGAAAUGAUUUUAGUUUGACGGUACCAUACCAGAAGGGGACGGCUAAAUACGUG
rnacentral:rRNA from 1 species